rnacentral:rRNA from 1 species
UACGGGGGGGGCAAGCGUUGUUCGGAAUUACUGGGCGUAAAGGGCUCGUAGGCGGCCAACUAAGUCCGACGUGAAAUCCCAAGGCUUAACCUUGGAACUGCGUCGGAUACUGGAUGGCUUGAAUUCGGGAGAGGGAUGCAGAAUUCCGGGUGUAGCGGUGAAAUGCGUAGAUAUCUGGAGGAACACCGGUGGCGAAGGCGGCAUCCUGGACCGAUACUGACGCUGAGGAGCGAAAGCCAGGGGAGCAAACAGG